rnacentral:rRNA from 1 species
UAUCUCUGUAGAGUCUGCAUAUCAAUAAGCGGAGGAAAAGAAACUAACUAAGGAUUCCCUCAGUAACGGCGAGUGAAGCGGGAAGAGCUCAAAUUUGAAAUCUUCAAGGGUUCUACCUUGACGAAUUGUAGUUUAUAGAAGUGUUUUCUGUUGGAGUUUUGGUAAAAGUUCUUUGGAAUAGGACAUCAUAGAGGAUGAGAAUCCCGUAUUUGACCAUUAUUUCCAACUUUGUGAUACACUUUCAAAGAGUCGGAUUGUUUGGGAAUGCAGUCCAAAAUGGGUGGUAAAUUUCAUCUAAAGCUAAAUACUGGCGAGAGACCGAUAGCGAACAAGUACCGUGAGGGAAAGAUGAAAAGAACUUUGAAAAGAGAGUUAAACAGUACGUGAAAUUGUCAAAAGGGAAGCGUUUGACACCAGUGUUGUCUUCUCGAAAAUCAAUUAAAAAUGGCGGGAUUUUGUGUUGUAUUGACUUUAUCAGCUUUCUGCACUUUUUUCCUGUCCUUUUUAAUGCACUUUUCGUUUAACAAGUCAACAUCAAUUUCUUUUGUUGUAAAAGGGUCAUUGGAAGGUGGCUUUCUUUUCGGAGAAAGUGUUUAUAGCCUUUGGCCUCUGCAAUCGGAGAGAUUGAGGUCUGCAGCGUAGAUCCUUCGGGGUUAGAUACAUUUGUGCUAAGCUAUAGCCUUUCAUAGACAACUUGUUGACUAUGAUCAGUCAUGUAGCUUACUCGCUUAUGCUAUUUUACCUACGCUUAGGAUGUUGAUGUGAUACUGCGAGCA